rnacentral:rRNA from 1 species
ACACUCCUGCGGGAGGCAGCAGUGGGGAAUUUUGGACAAUGGGCGAAAGCCUGAUCCAGCAAUGCCGCGUGUGUGAAGAAGGCCUUCGGGUUGUAAAGCACUUUUGUCCGGAAAGAAAUCCUUGGCUCUAAUACAGUCGGGGGAUGACGGUACCGGAAGAAUAAGCACCGGCUAACUACGUGCCAGCAGCCGCGGUAAUACGUAGGGUGCGAGCGUUAAUCGGAAUUACUGGGCGUAAAGCGUGCGCAGGCGGUUUGCUAAGACCGAUGUGAAAUCCCCGGGCUCAACCUGGGAACUGCAUUGGUGACUGGCAGGCUAGAGUAUGGCAGAGGGGGGUAGAAUUCCACGUGUAGCAGUGAAAUGCGUAGAGAUGUGGAGGAAUACCGAUGGCGAAGGCAGCCCCCUGGGCCAAUACUGACGCUCAUGCACGAAAGCGUGGGGAGCAAACAGGAUUAGAAACCCCUGUAUCCCA